rnacentral:rRNA from 1 species
GACGAACGCUGGCGGCGUGCCUAAUACAUGCAAGUCGAACGAGAGCGACCGGUGCUUGCACUGGUCAAUCUAGUGGCGAACGGGUGAGUAACACGUGGGUAACCUGCCCAUCAGAGGGGGAUAACAUCCGGAAACGGAUGCUAAAACCGCAUAGGUCUUCGAACCGCAUGGUUUGAAGAGGAAAAGAGGCGCAAGCUUCUGCUGAUGGAUGGACCCGCGGUGCAUUAGCUAGUUGGUGAGGUAACGGCUCACCAAGGCCGUGAUGCAUAGCCGACCUGAGAGGGUGUUCGGCCACAUUGGGACUGAGACACGGCCCAAACUCCUACGGGAGGCAGCAGUAGGGAAUCUUCCGCAAUGGACGCAAGUCUGACGGAGCAACGCCGCGUGAGUGAAGAAGGUUUUCGGAUCGUAAAACUCUGUUGUUAGAGAAGAACAAGUGCUAGAGUAACUGUUAGCGCCUUGACGGUAUCUAACCAGAAAGCCACGGCUAACUACGUG